GAGAUCACUGAAAAUUGAUUUUUACAUGCUCUGAAAUACUGAGAUUAAUUCCCAGCAAAAGACAACCAAUAACCCAACAGGUAUUUAUUACACAAUAGCUAUGUAUUAGAGGUGGAUCCCCCCCUUUUUUUUCAUUUUUGUGAGCCACACUUUAAAGGCUUCUUCAUUAUGAUGCUGGAAAAUACAUGACAUUUUCCCAUGAAACCAAGAUGUAAUGAACAGGUAUCAUAAAAUCAUGGGUGGCACUAUCUUACACAAAUGUUUUACUGUCAAUGGCGAAAAACAACUUAUCACUCACAGACUAAAAAUCCAGUUGUAUUUUAAUCCACUUUUUAAAAGAGCUGUUUUCCAUCCAUCUAAAAACGACCUCAAUGGCAUUUUUCUCCACAUCAUCCUAUCUCAGUAUUUCCAGAUCUUUUAGGACCUUGAGGGGAAAAGUAUGGUAAAUAAAGACAUUUAAUAGUUUCUGCAAAGAACCAUACACAAAACAUUUCUAUACUUAUGGAGGAAAGUAUAAGAGCACCUCAGAGCUUAGGGGGGAUACCAGUAUAUUAAAACACUUCUUUCCAACUACGGCAAAGCCUGCAGUUCUAACACGUCAUGUGCACAUUUGGCAGUUUUACCUAGUGCAGUGGCAGGAAAAUGUCUUCUUCGGGCCAUUGAGUUUGUUUUGCUGAGCUUCUUACAAACUUGAUAAUCCACACUCUUCAGCCAAGAUUAUUCGAUAUCCUUGUUUCUUUUCAACGUUGCUAUCUGU
rnacentral:lncRNA from 1 species